UACAGAGGGUGCGAACGUUGCUCGGAUUUACUGGGCGUAAAGCGCUUGUAGGCGGGGCGAAUGUGUCGGGGUGUGAAAUCCCUGAGCUUAACUCAGGAACUGCAUUCGAAACUAUUCGUCUUGAGGAAUUGAGAGGAGAACGGAAUUCCCGGUGUAGAGGUGAAAUUCGUAGAUAUCGGGAGGAACACCAGAUGCGAAGGCGGUUCUCUGGAAAUUAUCUGACGCUGAGAAGCGAAAGCGUGGGGAGCAAACAGG
rnacentral:rRNA from 1 species